CGCAACUUGCGCUCUCUGGUAUUCCGGAGAGCAUGCCUGUUUGAGUAUCAUGAAAUCUCAACCAUUAGGGUUUCUUAAUGGCUUGGAUUUGGGCGCUGCCACUUGCCUGGCUCGCCUUAAAGGAGUUAGCGUAUUAACUUGUCGAUCUGGCGUAAUAAGUUUCGCUGGUGUAGACUUGAGAAGUGCGCUUCUAAUCGUCCUCGGACAAUUCUUGAACUCUGGUCUCAAAUCAGGUAGGACUACCCGCUGAACUUAA
rnacentral:misc_RNA from 1 species